rnacentral:rRNA from 1 species
UACGUAGGUGGCAAGCGUUGUCCGGAAUUACUGGGUGUAAAGCGCGUGUAGGCGGGAGGCCAAGUCUGCUGUGAAAUCGCCCGGCUCAACUGGGCGGGGUCGGUGGAAACUGGUCACCUGGAGGACGGUAGAGGCGAGUGGAAUUCCCGGUGUAGUGGUGAAAUGCGUAGAGAUCGGGAGGAACACCAGUGGCGAAGGCGGUUACCUGGAGCUUUGCUGACGCUGAUGCGCGAAAGCGUGGGGAGCGAUCCGG